ACUGAGUCAGUGGAGAACAGGUCUGGUAGAAUUCCCUUUAACAAAGUCAGGAAGGCUUGGAUGGAAUAGAGCCUGGAGUGUCAGCCCUGAGGAGCAGAGAAUGACCUUCAUGGCAUGUGGCUGUACAUGCAAAGGCCCUGGGGCAGGACCGAGAUCCUGGCCAAGGUCUAAGAGCUGAUACAAGGCCUGUGUGUCUACAGCAGAGACAGCAGCUCUGACUGACAGAGAUGACAGUUGCAUAACUUCCCAAGCUUUGGGCUCGGUUCUUCCGGUUUUGUCCCUUCCGCAGGAAGGGCAGUGAAGGAUUCUGGGCGCUGAGGUCAUCAGGUUCUGGCCUUGCUCUUCCCUGGGGGCCCAGCAACCUCACCAUGCUGCAUGACAGCCCCAGGAGUCUGGCAUCUCCUGGGCAUCCUGUAUUCAAUCCACCCUGC
rnacentral:lncRNA from 1 species